rnacentral:rRNA from 1 species
UACGAAGGGGGCUAGCGUUGUUCGGAAUCACUGGGCGUAAAGGGCGCGUAGGCGGCUUUAUAAGUCGGGGGGUGAAAGCCUGUGGCUCAACCACAGAAUUGCCUUCGAUACUGUAGAGCUUGAGACCGGAAGAGGUAAGUGGAACUGCGAGUGUAGAGGUGAAAUUCGUAGAUAUUAGGAAGAACACCAGUGGCGAAGGCGGCUCACUGGAUCGGUACUGACGCUGAGGUGCGAAAGCGUGGGGAGCAAACAGGG